rnacentral:rRNA from 1 species
CAUAGCCUAUUGACUUGCAUAUUAGGUAAUUACUGCUCAAUGUAUCUUUAAUAAAUUGCCGUGGUAUAUAUGACCAUGCUAAGGUAGCAUAAUAAUUUGUUUAAUAAUUUUAGACUGGAAUGAAUGUAACCACACGUAUCAAAUGUCUCCUGUUUUAUUACCUGAAUUUCCUGUAUAGGUGAAAAUGCCUAUAAAGAAAAAUGGGACGAGAAGACCCUUAGAAUUUAUAUUAUGUUUUCACUGGGGCGGUGAUAGCUUGGAUCAGCUUUAAGUAAUACAAGACGGUUAUAUCAAGGAUGAAAAAAUUACCUAAGGGAUAACAGCAUAAUUAUCUAAAUUAGAUUGUGACCUCGAUGUUGGACUAGGGAACUCCAGGGCCAGAAGCUCUGGGGGUUGGUUCUGUUCGAACUUGAGCUCCUACGUGAU